CGCGCCGCGUCAUUUAUACUCGAUCAGUAACCAGUCUGCGGUCUGGAAGGGACUGAAUGUGGACACGAGAAAGACGGUGGAUACACGAAAUACGAAUGACGCAGACACAGGGACGCGGUAUAGGUAGAGGGGAAAUACGAGGAGAAACAGGAGGUGAAUAUGCGCACCAGAGGAGAAUGAAAAUGAGUAUGAAAGGGAACCGUAAGCUUGCGUAGAGGCGAAGAAAAAUCUGAUGAGCAAUAUGAGAACCAAGGAAGUACAAAGAAUAGGACAAGUGAAGAGGAAACACUAAACUGGAGAGAAUAAUUUGCUUUAUCAGUCAUCGCGCGUUGCGUAUUCAUUUAAAUUACGUAACUAUUAUUGUGUUGAAACGAUUUAUCUCUCUUGCCUUGAAUUACUACCUUGAAUUUCUGUUAGAAUGUCCGGUAUUUUGUUAUAUUUCCGAAAUCGUUAGCUUUUUGUCGGUAAUUACUGUAAAUAUUCAAUUAUAUAUCUAACAACUAGAAUUUGUAAUAGUGCUGCUUCUUUUGAUUAAUUUAGCAUUGGAUAUUAAAUUAAGUGGAUUAAUUAAUAAAUGAUUUCUAUUAUUCUGAAAAAUUUAUUUUUAUUAUGAUUUAAAUUUUUACUGUUAAAAAGAUUUAUAUAAGUUUAUAAUUUAGUCUUUCAAAAAUAAUUACACUAUUUUAGUUUAUGGCAUUCAUAACGAAGAGGAUUUGUGUUAUCGCAAACUUCUUGUGUUUAUAAGUCAGCACAGCUGACACUUUGCAAAUGUAGUCAAGGCAAACAGUACGUUAAUGUAUAGAUGGCUUCAGGUUGUCUCCAAUUCGUAUUUUCAGAUUACCAAAUAGGCACACAUUUUCUUCUGAAAAAGGGGAAUACGAAAAAAAUUAUAUCUUUUUUAUAAAAUUUUUAUUACAGAUAUUAAUAUUACAUCAAUUAUUCUCUCUAUAUUGACACACUUUUCUGUAUUUGGUUUUGUAUACUCUAAAUUAAUUGCACGAUAUAUCUAUGAAGUAAGUUAUACUUUGUAAUUUUAUAGGAUCAUAUUAAUGUAUAUAUCUAAUAUUAACAUGAAAUUGAUUUUACUCAUUAUCAGUGCUUGUUAGCCACGUACAAUGUUUGUCAUAAUUACUUCCUAUUUGAUGUGAUUCACAGUACAAUUGUGCAAUUAUAAGGUGACAGUUCUAAUGUCACGUGGAUCGUUUAAGAUAAAGAUUUUUAUUAAUUCAUGUAAAUUAAGUAAUUAAAUAUUUAAUAAGCUUGUUAACAUCAAUGUAAGCAGUAAAUAUUAAUAAUUUCAUAAGGAAAAUUAUAAUAUAUUCAAUAAACCGAUAAAUUUUUUUAAAAAGCGUUUAGAAAUGUCUAUUUAUAAAUUCCCAUUUUUUAAAUAAAUUGACAAUAGUGAAUUACACUUUGAUGUACAAAAGAAUUGUGUCAAUUUGAAAGAAAAUGUAUAUUUCUUAAAAACAUAACUUUUGUACGUACAAUUACUUUUAAAAAAUAAAAUUUAAGUGGUAGUAUCAGUGUAUUCUCAUUUAAGAGUCUUUUUAAAAUUUAAAUGGUGAAGUAUAAUAGGCUGAAUAAAUUAAAACGUACAAAACUUGUAUACAUACAAAACGAAAUUUACGAAAUGAUAAAUAUUCUUCGUCUGUUUAUUAGACACUUGUAGAAAUGUGUGACUAUGAAAUAUUAUUAGCUGUUAAAAUGUUAACACGAAACCAACAUUGUUGAUUCUUCAAUUUCACGCAAGUAUAUGAGCUAAUAAAAUAUGAACCGUAUGUGACCGAUGACGUAUCUUAAUUAAAUUUUGAGAUUUGGACUUUGCGUCGCAAAUCGUUGGACGACGAUUUUGCUAGAGGACCUAAAAAUUUAGUUAGAUAUAGAUGUAAAAAUAAUUUUGAGACACCAUCAAUAAAAUAAUUAUGGAUGAUGCCUAAGUAAUUAAUAGAAUGUCAAAAUUUUUACAACAUUGCUUUGCUUGAGCGUUUUACAUAAUUAUUUUGAUGAUCAAAAUUAUUUUCAGAUCUGUAUCUAACUGAGGCUAGUAUUCAUAAUCCGUUCUUAUAUUCAAGAUAGUCUUAAAUAUAAUCUUAAAAUGUCAUAAACCAAUCGCAGAGUCUUAUUAGCAUCUUAAGACUGUUCUUGAGACGAUCUUGAAAGAGACUGGAAUCUUGAAAGAGACUGGAAAGAACAAGCUAUGAAUACCAGUUUAAAUUUUUAGAUACUUCAGGAAAAUUAUUUUAUCCACAUAAGAAAAUUAAACGACGAGAAAAUAAUCGAAAAUGAAAUAUUCAUCAAGUAGCCAUUAGAAUUAAAGACAAUUCCUACUAAAUAUCUUAUAUUAAUGUAUAAAAUAAUUUAGAAUAUACUAUUUAUGUUCACAUAUUUGUUUACAUGUUUUAUGAAAGAAUAAUCUCAAACUGUCGACGCAUACGAAAAGACGUGAUGUAAUUUGAACAAUGUAACAUGUCGUACGUAAAUCUUCUAUAUUGUAAGAAAAUAAAGAAACCUAAACAUGUACACAUACUGAGCGUCUGUAUUAAAUAUUCAUGAUUACCGCGAAAAUAAAAUAUUCAUCAGGUAAAAU